UCUUCGGAGAGUUUGAUCCUGGCUCAGGACGAACGCUGGCGGCGUGCCUAAUACAUGCAAGUCGAGCGAAUCGAUGGGAGCUUGCUCCCUGAGAUU
rnacentral:rRNA from 1 species